UUUGUACUCCCUCCGUCCGGAAAUACUUGUCGGAGAAAUAAAUGUAUCUAGACGUAUUUUAGUUCUAGAUGCAUCCAUUUUUAUCAAUUUCUCUGACGAGUAUUUCCGGACGGAGGGAGUAGUUG
rnacentral:pre_miRNA from 1 species